UCGCAUCUGUGCAUGCAGCAUAUCAAUAAGCGGAGGAAAAGAAACUAACAAGGACUCCCCUAGUAACGGCGAGUGAAGCGGGAAGAGCUCAAAUUUGAAAUCUUAAAGGGUUUCCCUUUACGAAUUGUAGUUUAAAGAAGUGUUUUCUGUUGAGGUUUUGGUAAAAGUUCUUUGGAAUAGGACAUCAUAGAGGGUGAGAAUCCCGUAUUUGACCUUUACUUUCAACUUUGUGAUACACUUUCAAAGAGUCGGAUUGUUUGGGAAUGCAGUCCAAAAUGGGUGGUAAAUUUCAUCUAAAGCUAAAUAUUGGCGAGAGACCGAUAGCGAACAAGUACCGUGAGGGAAAGAUGAAAAGAACUUUGAAAAGAGAGUUAAACAGUACGUGAAAUUGUCAAAAGGGAAGCGUUUGACACCAGUGUUGUUUUUCUGAAAAUCAAUUAAAGAACCGUUUAUGCUAAGCUGUUUAGACUUUAUCAGCUAUCUGUUUAGUUUUGAGCUUUUCUUUAAUGCACUUUUCAGUUAACAAGUCAACAUCAAUUUCUUUUGCUGUAAAAAAGCUUGAGGAAAGGUGGCUUGAGAUUCGUCUUAAGUGUUUAUAGCCUCUUGCCUAUGCAGUCGGAGAGAUUGAGGUCUGCAGCGUAGAUCCUUCGGGGCUAAAUGCAUUUGUGCUAAGUUAUAGCAUUUCAUAGACAACUUGCUGACUAUGAUUUGUCUUGUAGCUUACUCGCUUAUGUUAUUUUACCUACGCUUAGGAUGUUGAACGCGCACAGAGUCUC
rnacentral:rRNA from 1 species